AUCAGCAGCAGCGAAUGGAGGCAUUGUUGUGUCAUUUAAAACAGCAGCGAAUAGAGAAGGCAAUUGAGGCAUAAUCAAGCAAUCAAAAUUAUCUUGGCAUCUUAGGGGUUUGAUCUUCCUUCUGCUAGAAAAUUUUCCAGAAGGGAAGAUUGUCAAAGCCAUCAAAGGUUGCACCAUCAUCCAAAGACUAUGGGGAUUGAACUAGGAAUUGGUUUUGUAGUAGGUAUUUUCA